rnacentral:rRNA from 1 species
GACGAACGCUGGCGGCGUGCUUAACACAUGCAAGUCGAACGGAAAGGCCCUGCUUUUGUGGGGUGCUCGAGUGGCGAACGGGUGAGUAACACGUGAGUAACCUGCCCUUGACUUUGGGAUAACUUCAGGAAACUGGGGCUAAUACCGGAUAGGAGCUCCUGCUGCAUGGUGGGGGUUGGAAAGUUUCGGCGGUUGGGGAUGGACUCGCGGCUUAUCAGCUUGUUGGUGGGGUAGUGGCUUACCAAGGCUUUGACGGGUAGCCGGCCUGAGAGGGUGACCGGCCACAUUGGGACUGAGAUACGGCCCAGACGCCUACGGGAGGCAGCAGUGGGGAGUAUGGCACAAUGGGCGGAAGCCUGAUGCAGCAACGCCGCGUGCGGGAUGACGGCCUUCGGGUUAUAAACCGCUUUCGCCUGUGACGAAGCGUGAGUGACGGUAAUGGGUAAAGAAGCACCGGCUAACUACGUG